rnacentral:rRNA from 1 species
AGAGUUUGAUCAUGGCUCAGAGCGAACGCUGGCGGCGUGGCUUAGGCAUGCAAGUCGAACGUGAAAGCCCGCAAGGGUGAGUAAAGUGGCGAAAGGGUGAGUAAUAUAUCGAUAACCUACCCUUGAGACGGGGACAACAGCUCGAAAGGGCUGCUAAUACCCGAUGGUUCUGGGUUGAUGCAUUCUUCCCAGCUAAACGGUGGGUCCUUCGGGGCCUUCUGCUCGAGGAGGGGUCGAUAUCCUAUCAGCUAGUUGGCGGGAUAACAGCCCACCAAGGCUUUGACGGGUAGCCGGACUGAGAGGUCGACCGGUCACACUGGCACUGAGACACUGGCCAGACUCCUACGGGAGGCUGCAGUCGAGAAUCUUCCGCAAUGGGCGAAAGCCUGACGGAGCGACGCCGCGUGCAGGAUGAAGGCCCUCGGGUUGUAAACUGCUGUCAAAUGUUAGGAAUGGUUAGUCGCGAAUAACGGCUAACUUGACAAAGGCAUGAGAGGAAGUCACGGCUAACUUCGUGCCAGCAGCCGCGGUAAGACGAAGGUGGCAAGCGUUGCUCGGAAUCACUGGGCAUAAAGCGCGCGUAGGUGGCUUGAUAAGUCGGUGGUGAAAUCCCAUGGCUCAACCAUGGAACUGCCGUCGAUACUGUCAGGCUUGAGGGCGGUAGGGGAGAGUGGAACUCCUGGUGUAGCGGUGAAAUGCGUAGAUAUCAGGAGGAACGCCGGUGGCGAAAGCGACUCUCUGGGCCGUUCCUGACACUAAAGCGCGAGAGCUAGGGGAGCAAACAGGAUUAGAUACCCUAGUAGUCC